AGUGAAGAGAGAGUUCUGGGGAGAGGUGUCUGUGUACAAAAAGGCUCGGGAUGGCCCUCUAGUUCUCUAAAGACGAGCUCUUCACAGAGAGACAUAACAGCCAGCUAUAGACCGGGAAGACUUGAUAAAAUGCCUGCCACUUAAGCAAGAAGCCUUGAGUUUGAUUCCUCAGAACCCAUGAGAAAGGCAAGCACAGGGGCCCUGGGUCUGUGCUCAGUGCUGGGCCAACCUAGCAGCUGUGGCCUUCCAGCUCGAGAGGUCGUGUCUCAAAAGUUAGAGAGUGACAGAAGAAAGACACCGGAAGAAAGACACACUGGCAUUGGUGCACGCACGCAAAUUCAUAAAACUUUUCAAGACCAGAUAAUUACAAUCUAUAACUGCC